rnacentral:rRNA from 1 species
GCACAAGCGGUGGAGUAUGUGGUUUAAUUCGAUGCAACGCGAAGAACCUUACCUGGUCUUGACAUCCCGGAGACCCUUAGGAAACUAGGGGGUGCUUCCAUCUGGAAGAAUCUGGAGACAGGUGCUGCAUGGCUGUCGUCAGCUCGUGUCGUGAGAUGUUGGGUUAAGUCCCGCAACGAGCGCAACCCUUGCCUUUAGUUGCCAGCAGUUCGGCUGGGCACUCUAAAGGGACUGCCGGUGUUAAACCGGAGGAAGGUGGGGAUGACGUCAAGUCCUCAUGGCCUUUAUGACCAGGGCUACACACGUACUACAAUGGCCGAUACAAAGGGCAGCGACACUGCGAGGUGAAGCCAAUCCCGUAAAAUCGGUCUCAGUCCGGAUUGGAGUCUGCAACUCGACUCCAUGAAGUUGGAAUCGCUAGUAAUCGUGGAUCAGCAUGCCACGGUGAAUACGUUCCGGCCUU